ACAAGGAUGGCAUGGGAAAUGGGUACUCUUGUUGCUUAGCCUGCCCUUUGACUAGAACACUGCAAUCUACAGCAGUAUCAACCUGGUACCUUUUACCCCUGCUGACCGCUCACAUUCACCAAGAUAUAUAUGCUUAUUACUAAACACUUAUUGGUCUAUCCGUGUGCUUUCAGUUUGGCAUAAUUUCCUCAAAUGCAAUGCUCACUACAAAUAUACAGUAGGAGAGAAAAGAUCUGGACCAGUAUAAACCCAGGAGGCAAACUGAUGCACACUAAUCCUAGCCUUCAUGUUUCCUCUUCCCUACUAAAAAGUUAUUGAAAGCACAGGGUUCAAUAAGUUGCCUGUGACCCACACAUUGCUCAAUAUUUCACUCUGAGAUCAUGUCCACAAAAUGAGCAUGAAGGGAAAAAAAAUAGAGAAAUAAAAGGAGAGGAAUUCUACAACCUCCUGCAUUCAUCCAAAUCUUUGUCAGCAUCUCCAAAGCAAAGAGGUUGUUAAACAGGGAUCUAAACUGCUAGUAAAUGGAGUUGGAGGAAAAUUGAGGAUCGUCAGUCCCACCUUUGGACAAUGUUCUGCAGGCUUCUGUGGUAGUAUGGAGAGUUCAGGAGAAAUGUCUGAGAAGCUAAAGAAGAGGGAAACCACAGCCUAUUCAGUGAGCCAGUGGAAGGAUUUAUUACUCCAUUGUAUAUGCUGCUUGUGUUGAUUUGCCCCAUCUGGGAGCUGGGAAAGAGCAGUAUACCCAUCUGCUGUGCAGCACAUGAAGAGCAGGACCCAGCCAACAAGAGCUGCACGUAGAUGCUGAGAUGGAAGAAGACAGCAGCCCAGACAUGCUGCCAGCCUGUGACCUUCUGCAAGGCGGUCUCAGGGCCAGCAGUGUAAAGGACGAGAUAGAUCUUCCUCCCACUGUCAUCACAAGCUGAGAGAAGAGAUGCUAACAGCCUCCUGUGUACUGCAGUGGAAGGCAGCUGGCACAGAAAGCGUGGAACCACAGGAAAAGGAAAUCCAUUCAUCACAAUUCUGGAAUGCUGGAAAACUCACUGAGGAACUACAAAGGGCAGGUAAAGCAAAAGCAUUUAAAAUAGUUGCAGAUGAGCUGAUAAGCGGCUCAAAGAAACAGUUAAAUUUGUGUGCAGAUAACUUAACCACAGUAUCUGGAAUGUAUAAACAUAGCACUUUUUUUUUUUUUUCUGGCCUUAAAAUUUGAUCCAAGUCUGGGAGUUAAGAAGUCCCAUUUUGUGUAAUCAGGUUCUGGUUGAACAUGAUUGCUGAAUUAUUUUAAAUUGAAGACACAUGUCUGGAUGUUGAGUUCUGUAUAUUAUUCCAGGAUGGUGUCCAUUAGGUCUUAUCCACAGGGGCUAUCUUCAUUCCUUAUGCAUCAGGAUUAGCAAAUGGUGAAUCAUGAAUAUGGAGGCAGUGAAUAGAAUGUGGUACUAGUUAAAUGGUGAUUUUGGAAAUUAUCUUGCAUGCAUUAUUCAAAACUUUUCAGUCUCUCCUGCAUAGAGUCCCUAAGGCUGUUUCAAAGUGUUAUUUUAAAGCACACUUGUACAAGGCAUUUGCAUUCUUUCAUUUUGAAUCUUGAGUUUAGCAACGAACCAACAUUUGCUUUAACCCCUUGUCAGUCCUAAAGCAUUCUCAAGAGUAUGAGUUGCUCAUCUAAUGGUUGCACUGCCAUAUGCUGUCCUUCUAUAAUAGAUCUGCCCCUGACCUCUGUGUUUUUACAUUGCUUUUUUUACUGGCAGAUGGACCAUUACAUGAAUUGAAACAUAUUUUAAUGGAUACUCCCAGUGGUGAGAGAAUAUUGUCUCAUUAGCUCCAUGGGGAAAACAGUGUAAACCCAAAGCUGAGUAGCUCACCUAUCCAUAUGGUGGGUGAAAAGAGGUGUCCUUACAGCAUAUGCUACAGGCAACGAUGCCUCCUGAAUUGCUAGAAGAUCAAACUUCUGAGGUGUGACAAGGAGACGAUGAACAAAGAGUUUGUCUUUUUCCUGUCUGGGCUGUCCGAAUGCUUGUGUAGCUUUUAAAGACUGGGCUGGAUGCUCUUUGGGUGCCCUGCGGCCAUGUACCACAGAUCAGUCACCACAAGGUGCUCUGCCCUUAUCUUUUCCCCACACAGAGCUCCUGCGGGGAAGGUCUCUGAAAGUCUUUGUUCAUCAGAAUUUUUUUCAGUUAAAUGGAUCUUUUUUGGUUUUUUUUUGUUUGUUUGUUUCAAAUCAAAACAAAAUCGACAAAAAGAAGACUGUCACCAUCAUUUGCAUGUUUCUAUUUUCACAUGUUCGUAACAACCGUAACGGGAAUUUUAUCCAUCUUUUAAUCAAAACUGUUUGAGAAAUCACACCACCCAACUUCUUCACAAAGGAAAACACUCUUGUCAGUGUGUGGACGACUUGAUGACAGAGUCAACAGUGAUUCUGAUAUAACAUUUCAUGAAAAUUGAAAGACAUCCCAAAAGCCUGCAAAGAGGAAGUGGCCACAAAAUAUGAAUACCUAUGGCCCGUUCAAAAUGCAUUCCUCAGUUUUCAGCCUGGGAAAUGACAGAGUUCAUUGUGCAGAUGGGCUCUCUGAUUCCAUCCCAAUGGUAUCUCCAUACACCGCCUCUCUCCCUCCCUCUUAGGCAGGGUGAAUCUGCUGGGCUUUAAAUCUUUCUCAGCCAGGAGGAAUUCCGAAAGGAGGAAAACAGCUGGGAAACACAUAUCCAUGCCUCCUGCAAAGGUAUGUGCCUUAUAUAUUACUGCGAGGCACAACAUCAUUUUCCAAAAAUCUCUCACUCUCUUAAAUAACACACAAAGUAUUGUUCUGAGCUGAGCUAAGGUGGAGCUGGCAGUUGACAUGUCUGAGGUCAUUCGAUAAAUGGGUGUAAUGAAGUAGUCAUGGCUAAUAUGUGUUAUAAGCUUAAUAUGAACCUGAAAAUCCCACAGAGGAGAUAUUAUAUCUUUAAAAAAUGAUAGUACGGUAAUGAUUCUAAAUCCUGCAGCUUACAAUAGUGUUUAACUGUUUUGAGCCAUUAUCGUGAUAUUAUUUUAGGGAUUUUCAUUGCAAUAGAUAGUUACAUUAAAAUUACAUUUAAGUAGAGAGUUGCCAGACUUUGCUGAUGCUUUACUAAGAACCACACAGCAGACACUUGUGAAAGCACUUCCUCUUGCCACAUACAAAUGGAUGAUUUACAAUAUGGCUAGAGAUGACAGCUUUAAUUAAAUUUCUUUUGAGGAGCUCAUUCUGGCAGCUAACCUGUGCUGGAAAGAGUGUGACACUCACUUGCAUACUUAGGAUGAGAAUCCAGAAACAGUCUUUUUAGUGGUGUAUAUCUAAAAGCAAGUAAAUAUCAUCUUAUCUGUGCAAGUCAGGAAAAUGAGGCCCAAAGGUGUGAUGUGUCUUGUACGUCACUAAUGGCCUUAACCAUUGAAGUCACUGAGCUGUACUAUACUAUAAUAAAAAAAAAAAAAAAAAAAGACA
rnacentral:lncRNA from 1 species